AUACGGAGGGAGCAAGCGUUAUUCGGAAUCACUGGGCGUAAAGGACGCGUAGGCGGGUUUGUAAGUCAGGUGUGAAAUCCUACAGCUCAACUGUAUAACUGCACUUGAAACUACAGACCUAGAGUAUGGAAGGGGCAGAUGGAAUUAGUGGUGUAGGGGUAAAAUCCGUAGAUAUCACUAGGAAUACCGAAAGCGAAGGCGAUCUGCUGGGACAUUACUGACGCUGAGGCGUGAAAGCGUGGGGAGCAAACAGGAUUAGAUACCCCAGUAGUCC
rnacentral:rRNA from 1 species